rnacentral:rRNA from 1 species
GAGUUUGAUCAUGGCUCAGGACGAACGCUGGCGGUGCGCCUAAUGCAUGCAAGUCGAACGGGCGGAGGGGCUUCGGCCCCCGAGCUAGUGGCAGACGGCUGAGUAACACGUAAGUGAUCUGCCCCGGAGAGGGGGAUAACCCGGAGAAGUCCGGCCUAAUACCCCGUACGCUCUCUUUUCUGCGGUUUAGAGAGGAAAGUUCCGGCGCUCUGGGAGGAGCUUGCGGCCUAUCAUGGUAGUUGGUGGGGUAAAAGCCUACCAAGCCGAAGACGGGUAACCGGUGUGAGAGCACGAUCGGUCAGAGGGGGACUGAGACACGGCCCCCACUCCUACGGGAGGCAGCAGCAGGGAAUCUUGCGCAAUGGGCGAAAGCCUGACGCAGCGACACCGCGUGGGGGAUGAAGGCUUUCGAGUUGUAAACCCCUUUUCCCAGGGAUGAGAAAGGACAGUACCUGGGGAAUAAGGUUCGGCUAACUACGUGCCAGCAGCCGCGGUAAUACGUAGGAACCGAGCGUUGUCCGGAUUUACUGGGCGUAAAGUGCGCGUAGGCGGUCCGUUAAGUCUCAUGUGAAAUCUCCCGGCUCAACUGGGAGGGGUCAUGGGAUACUGGCAGACUUGAGUGCAGCAGAGGGAAGUGGAAUUCCCGGAGUAGUGGUGGAAUGCGUAGAUCACCGGGAGGAACACCAGAGGCGAUGGCGACUCCCUGGGCUGUGACUGACGCUGAGGCGCGAAAGCGUGGGUAGCAAACCGGAUUAGAUACCCGGGUAGUCCACGCCCUACACGAUGGAUACUAGGUAUGCGGGGUAUCGACCCCCUCCGUGCCGCAGCUAACGCAAUAAGUAUCCCGCGUGAGGAGUACGGCCGCAAGGCUAAAUCUCAAAGGAAUUGACGGGGACCCGCACAAGCAGCUGAUCGUGUGGUAUAAUUAGAUGCUAAGCGAAGAACCUUACCAGGGCUUGAAAUGCUUGUGACAGCCUGGUAUUCCAGGUUUUCCUUUGGUACAGAUGCACAGAUUUUGCAUGGCUGUGGUCAGCUUGUGUCGUGAGAUGUUGGGUUAAGUCCUGCAACGAGCGCAACCCAUGUCGUUAGUUAGGAUGUUUUACGAGACUGCCCCCAUUGUGGUGAGGAAGGUGGGGUGGAGGUCAAGUCAUCAUGGCUCUUACGUCCUGGGGUACACACACGAUACAAUGGUUUGGACAGAGGGUUGCAAAGGCGCGAGCCCUAGCUAAUCCCACAAACCAGGCCCCAGUUGGAAUUGCAGGUUGCAACCCGCCUGCAUGAACGCGGAGUUGCUAGUAACCGCAGGUCAGCACACUGCGGUGAAUACGUUCUCGGGUCUUGUACACACCGCCCGUA